rnacentral:misc_RNA from 1 species
UCCAAUGAGAGCACUUGGCACAA